UUCCCCAUAAUAUUCGGAGAGGCAUCUCUCCGGGUUGAAAACUCCGGUGGUUAUAGAUGGACAUGCGUUGUAUCAGCUAGUUGGUGAGGUAACGGCUCACCAAGGCAACGAUACAUAGGGGGACUGAGAGGUUAACCCCCCACACUGGUACUGAGACACGGACCAGACUCCUACGGGAGGCAGCAGUGAGGAAUAUUGGUCAAUGGACGCAAGUCUGAACCAGCCAUGCCGCGUGCAGGAAGACGGCUCUAUGAGUUGUAAACUGCUUUUGUACGAGGGUAAACUCACCUACGUGUAGGUGACUGAAAGUAUCGUACGAAUAAGGAUCGGCUAACUCCGUGCCAGCAGCCGCGGUAAUACGGAGGAUUCAAGCGUUAUCCGGAUUGAUUGGGUUUAAAGGGUGCGUAGGCGGUUUGAUAAGUUAGAGGUGAAAUCCCGGGGCUUAACUCCGGAACUGCCUCUAAUACUGUCAGACUAGAGAGUAGUUGCGGUAGGCGGAAUGUAUGGUGUAGCGGUGAAUGCUUAGAGAUCAUACAGAACACCGAUUGCGAAGGCAGCU
rnacentral:rRNA from 1 species